rnacentral:rRNA from 1 species
ACGGGUGAGUAACGCGCGGGUAACCUGCCUUAUACAGGGGGAUAACAGUUAGAAAUGACUGCUAAUACCGCAUAAGCGCACAGGAUUGCAUGAUCUGGUGUGAAAAACUCCGGUGGUAUAAGAUGGACCCGCGUCUGAUUAGCUGGUUGGUGAGGUAACGGCCCACCAAGGCGACGAUCAGUAGCCGACCUGAGAGGGUGACCGGCCACAUUGGGACUGAGACACGGCCCAGACUCCUACGGGAGGCAGCAUG